UACAGAGGUCUCAAGCGUUGUUCGGAUUCAUUGGGCGUAAAGGGUGCGUAGGUGGCGAUGUAAGUCUGGUGUGAAAUCUCGGGGCUCAACCUCGAAAUUGCAUUGGAUACUGCGUUGCUAGAGGAUUGUAGAGGAGAGUGGAAUUCACGGUGUAGCAGUGAAAUGCGUAGAUAUCGUGAGGAAGACCAGUUGCGAAGGCGACUCUCUGGGCAAUUCCUGACACUGAGGCACGAAGGCUAGGGGAGCAAAC
rnacentral:rRNA from 1 species